rnacentral:rRNA from 1 species
AGUGAACGCUGGCGGUAGGCCUAACACAUGCAAGUCGAACGGCAGCACAGUAAGAGCUUGCUCUUACGGGUGGCGAGUGGCGGACGGGUGAGGAAUACAUCGGAAUCUACUUUUUCGUGGGGGAUAACGUAGGGAAACUUAUGCUAAUACCGCAUACGACCUACGGGUGAAAGCAGGGGAUCUUCGGACCUUGCGCGAUUGAAUGAGCCGAUGUCGGAUUAGCUAGUUGGCGGGGUAAAGGCCCACCAAGGCGACGAUCCGUAGCUGGUCUGAGAGGAUGAUCAGCCACACUGGAACUGAGACACGGUCCAGACUCCUACGGGAGGCAGCAGUGGGGAAUAUUGGACAAUGGGCGCAAGCCUGAUCCAGCAAUGCCGCGUGGGUGAAGAAGGCCUUCGGGUUGUAAAGCCCUUUUGUUGGGAAAGAAAAGCAGCAGGUUAAUACCCCGAUGUUCUGACGGUACCUAAAGAGUAAGCCCCGGCUAACUUCGUG